UUACCCAAUCCCGACUCGGGGAGGUAGUGACAAUAAAUACUGAUACAGGGCUCUUUUGGGUCUUGUAAUUGGAAUGAGUACAAUUUAAAUCCCUUAACGAGGAACAAUUGGAGGGCAAGUCUGGUGCCAGCAGCCGCGGUAAUUCCAGCUCCAAUAGCGUAUAUUAAAGUUGUUGUGGUUAAAAAGCUCGUAGUUGAACCUUGGGCCUGGCUGGCCGGUCCGCCUCACCGCGUGUACUGGUCCGGCCGGGCCUUUCCCUCUGUGGAACCCCAUGCCCUUCACUGGGUGUGGCGGGGAAACAGGACUUUUACUUUGAAAAAAUUAGAGUGCUCCAGGCAGGCCUAUGCUCGAAUACAUUAGCAUGGAAUAAUAAAAUAGGACGUGUGGUUCUAUUUUGUUGGUUUCUAGGACCGCCGUAAUGAUUAAUAGGGACAGUCGGGGGCAUCAGUAUUCAAUUGUCAGAGGUGAAAUUCUUGGAUUUAUUGAAGACUAACUACUGCGAAAGCAUUUGCCAAGGAUGUUUUCAUUAAUCAGGAACGAAAGUUAGGGGAUCGAAGACGAUCAGAUACCGUCGUAGUCUUAACCAUAAACUAUGCCGACUAGGGAUCGGACGAUGUUAUUAUUUGACUCGUUCGGCACCUUACGAGAAAUCAAAGUGCUUGGGCUCC
rnacentral:rRNA from 1 species